GAUGAACGCUGGCGGCGUGCCUAAUACGUGCAAGUCGAGCGAACAGACGAGGAGCUUGCUCCUCUGACGUUAGCGGCGGACGGGUGAGUAACACGUGGAUAACCUACCUAUAAGACUGGGAUAACUUCGGGAAACCGGAGCUAAUACCGGAUAAUAUAUUGAACCGCAUGGUUCAAUAGUGAAAGACGGUUUUGCUGUCACUUAUAGAUGGAUCCGCGCCGCAUUAGCUAGUUGGUAAGGUAACGGCUUACCAAGGCAACGAUGCGUAGCCGACCUGAGAGGGUGAUCGGCUACACUGGAACUGAGACACGGUCCAGACUCCUACGGGAGGCAGCAGUAGGGAAUCUUCCGCAAUGGGCGAAAGCCUGACGGAGCAACGCCGCGUGAGUGAUGAAGGUCUUCGGAUCGUAAAACUCUGUUAUUAGGGAAGAACAAAUGUGUAAGUAACUAUGCACGUCUUGACGGUACCUAAUCAGAAAGCCACGGCUAACUACGUG
rnacentral:rRNA from 1 species